rnacentral:piRNA from 1 species
UCUAUGUCUUGUUUAUUGUUG